rnacentral:lncRNA from 1 species
CCUCUACAGCUGCUCCCACGCAGGAAGCACUGCCAUGUGCCAGCACAGGGCUCUAGGCCCCAGCAUCAGAGGACUACGGGUUACCUGAGGGGGACCUAGGCACCCAUACAGAACUCUCAACCACCCACCUGAGCAGAAAUCCUGAACGCCCUUCCCACACCGGACACCCAGCUGCUACCCACAUGCAGGAACUCCAGCUGCCACUCCCACGAGGACCCCCAUCUAGAAACGUGGGGCUCCCCAGGUCACCUCCAUCUUGGGACUUUGCAGCAACUGAGAUAGUCUCCUUAAGCACAGUAUCCUGCCUGCACCGGGGGAAAUCACACAGGCUCUAAGCCAACAGCCACAGAGCUCACCUCUCAAUACACAGCCCAAUGUCUCCCACCCUACCUGACACCCCAUCACUGAAAGCAGCUGCCUCCAUCUUGGGUCACUUUCAUCACAAUCUUUAGUGGAGGCAACUCCCAGUUUGGAACUAAGGCUGAUCAGGUACCCGUAAUUUCUAACUCCCCCUUCCACCAGCAGCUGCUAACCCAGCACAGUGACUGCCCAAUACAAAACAGCUCUCUGCAACAGAUGCACAGCCACCAAAGGGCAACACACAAGACCUCCAGAGAGAAAGGUGUCUUAUUGGGAAGUAGAAAGGAAGAGGGUGAGUGAGAGACUGUUUACAGACUUAACAUGGAGACCAGGAACUCUGGGGUCUACCGUGAGAUAAGGAGAUAAGACUAGGUGCCCACAUCACACGAGCAGGUUCCAAAGGAGAUCCUUGAGGUGCAGUCUCCCUUUGGUGGCCAGUGGGUGCCACAUCCCACCUCCAGGUGCCCUGCACCCAAGACCAAUCCUCUCACCCUGGUAACAUUCACCAUCGUGAGAGAAGGGAUACCAGCUAACAACAGAGAGCCACACCUAUUGGAUGAGAAGGGAAACAGGAAAGAUACUGAUC